GGCUUGAUGGCCGAGUGGCUAGGGCUCUGGCGCUCGGUGCCAUGAAUGUUUUAGUGGUUCACAAUCCACUUUAAGCCG